rnacentral:pre_miRNA from 1 species
AAAAAGGCAAACUACGGGUUUGCGUGCCAACGUUUGACCGUCCGUCUUAUAUGAAAUUUUUUUAUAAUUAGUAUUUUCAUUGUUGUUAGAUGAUAAAACAUGAUGAAUACUUUAUGUGUGACUUAUCUUUUUAAUUUUUUUUAUAAUUUUUUUAAAUAAGACGGACGGUCAAAUAUUGGACACGGAAACUAAGGUUUGUCUUUUUU